rnacentral:rRNA from 1 species
CUGCCUCCAUAUCCAAAACCCCCCACGCGAGUGAGCGGCAACAGCUCACAUUUGAAAUCUGGCCCUUUCAGGGUCCGAGUUGUAAUUUGUAGAGGAUGCUUUUGGGCAGCCACCGGUCUAAGUUCCUUGGAACAGGACGUCAUAGAGGGUGAGAAUCCCGUAUGUGACUGGACAGGCACCCUUUGUAAAGCUCCUUCGACGAGUCGAGUUGUUUGGGAAUGCAGCUCUAAAUGGGAGGUAAAUUUCUUCUAAAGCUAAAUACCGGCCAGAGACCGAUAGCGCACAAGUAGAGUGAUCGAAAGAUGAAAAGCACUUUGGAAAGAGAGUUAAAAAGCACGUGAAAUUGUUGAAAGGGAAGGGCUUGCAAUUAGACUUGCCCGCAGUUGUUCAGCUGGUCUUCUGACCGGUUUAUUCUUCUGCGGGCAGGCCAGCAUCAGUUUCGGCGGCCGGAUAAAGGCUCUGGGAAUGUGGCUGUCCUUCGGGGCAGUGUUAUAGCCCAGGGUGUAAUACGGCCAGCCGGGACUGAGGUCCGCGCUUCGGCUAGGAUGCUGGCGUAAUGAUUGUAAGCCGCCCGUCUUAAAACAAAAGAAAAACAAAAACAGCCUUUUUUUAAAAAAAAAAACAAAAGUUUUUUUUUUUGAAAAAAAAAAAAAAAAAAUUUCCUGAAUCAAAAAACAGAA